UCUAGGAGUGAGAACACGUCAGGAGUGUGGAAGGUAAAAGUUUUAUUGGUGACUUUUCACAUCAAGGAUAUAAUGCAAUACAGUUAAGAGCAUCAGAGAGAAGAAAUACACUUUCCAGUUAACCAGCCAGUCAUUGAUCUUAACCACAUCUGAUAAGGAGAUUUCUCUGACUUCACAGGAUAGCUGUAAAAUAACACAGAAUGCACGUGGAAGUACUUAAUAAACUCUAAAGUGAAAUACAAAUGUAAGCUAUUUUUAUUACAAAUGUAAUACAUAUCUGCCACCAGA